rnacentral:rRNA from 1 species
UACGUAGGGUGCAAGCGUUGUCCGGAAUUAUUGGGCGUAAAGAGCUCGUAGGCGGUUUGUCGCGUCUGCUGUGAAAACCCGAGGCUCAACCUCGGGCCUGCAGUGGGUACGGGCAGACUAGAGUGCGGUAGGGGAGAUCGGAAUUCCUGGUGUAGCGGUGAAAUGCGCAGAUAUCAGGAGGAACACCGGUGGCGAAGGCGGAUCUCUGGGCCGUAACUGACGCUGAGGAGCGAAAGCAUGGGGAGCGAACAGG